rnacentral:rRNA from 1 species
UACGGAGGGUGCAAGCGUUAUCCGGAUUUACUGGGUUUAAAGGGUGUGUAGGCGGACUUUUAAGUCAGCGGUGAAAUCUCCGGGCUCAACCCGGAAACUGCCAUUGAUACUAUUGGUCUUGAAUGUUGUUGAGGUGGGCGGAACGGGUCAUGUAGCGGUGAAAUGCAUAGAUAUGACCCGGAACACCGAUUGCGUAGGCAGCCCACUAAGCAACGAUUGACGCUGAGGCACGAAAGCGUGGGGACCAAACAGG